rnacentral:antisense_RNA from 1 species
ACUUGAAACAUUCUGAGUGUGCCUGCAGUAGGGUCUCAGAGGAGUUGCUCUGAAAGCUGUUGAGAGCAGCCACCUUUGCUGUCACUGAGACCUUGGCAGGGUCAGCUCUGGUGGGCCGUGUGCACCCAGGCUCUGAUGGCACCAGGAUGGCUUCCUGCAACCCGGAACCUGAUCCUAGCCCCCGGCAGAGCAUAAGGGCCCGAGGCCAGGGACCUAGAGGCCGGACCAAGUUCGCGCGAGGUGUUCACAGCCUAGGCGCCCCGGGCUUGGCUUCGUACUCUGCAACAAGCCAAGCUCCCUUGCCACGAGUAUAUCAGCAACUUCAGAAAUAAACACCAGCGAAACCCCUUCCCACAUUAGCUUGUUGCUGUGCUACUGACACUGGGCUUAGUCGAUGUUCACACCUAUUACAUUUUUCCGGAAAGUGGGAGGAGCAGGGGGUAGAGAAAGCUGUGUGUAUUGAGGGAAGGGGAGAUGUGUGCAACACCUUCCAGAAAAAUGGGGAGGUAGUUUAGAAAGUUUUUCUCUGUAACAGCACAACUUCUGAGAAGGCAGAGAGAAGAAAGCAGACAGGAAACGAAUCCCUUCCUCCUCUCCCCUUUACCCCCUUCCUUCACUCCCUAGACCAAGCUGGUCAGCCGGCUGGGAAUCAAGAUUGUGUGGCUGGGAAGACACCAGUCUCUGUGCUCGGGUUCAGCCCAGUCGGGCAAGAAAGUGUGGGCAGCUGGAGAAGGUCGUCACAGUCUCCCGUGGAAUCUUGUUGCCUGAGAGUCCCAUAACGGAAAGGGCUAAGACGACUCUUCCACACACAGGUCGCAGCCCCUGCCGCGGAGGAUCCCCAGGAAGAUGCUGGGGACGCUCUGAGCGACGGCCUUUCUUUACCCCCGACUCCCUGGAGCUUGGUCUGGGGAUGCCAACUUGGGGCACGGAGGCGCCGGGCUGCUCCGAAGCUGGAGGGUUUCUGCUUGGGUCAGAGGGAUCACGACCUCAGCAGAGCCAGGAGAGGUUGGGUGACACCCACUGCGUAUUGCACUUGACUCAAAACUGCCCUCGGCCUGCGGAAGAGGCGAGGGCAAGAAGCCUGGUGGCGGGUCAAACCUUCACCCUAUUAUUUUCUAUCAUUUUUUAUGCCCAUAUAUUUGUUAAGUGUAUGGCUGCUAUACACCAACAGCUUAUUCUACAAGAAGUGCCCCCGAGGAGGAUUGGGUUAAGCUUUGCAAAUUUGGCUUCCCAGGUAAUGCGCUUCAGUAUUCUGCUCCCGACUUACCCACCACACCAGUGGGUACCCGGAGCAGCACCCACUUGGCAGAGCUGAUGACUGCUUGGGCCCAGCGGAGUGCGCAUUGCGCUAACACGCGCACGGGAAUUGCACCCUUGCCGGAGCCUCCGCACCGUGCGCCCUUCAAAGAGCUGGCGACCCCGCUCACGUGUAAGCAACCUCCCACUUUGAAACUAAUUCGCACCCGGGUCUUUCACCCCAAAGGACUUUGCUGCGGACGCUGCUCUGACCCAAGACGCGGGAGAGAAGUCCCAAAGGCUACAGCCAGGGGCUGGGGGACUCCUCUGCUCACCUUAGUCCUUGAUUUCGAAGGCCCCAAUUAACUAUCUGUUGUGUCAGAAUCGGCGAGUGCAAAGUGGCUGCGCCCCGCUGACGCGCUCUCUCCUGGGUCCGGGUAUCCCAGGGCAUCCGGAGCUGGGGAGGGUUGUGCGGACUACCCAAGGCACGCGCAGAUACCGGGCAGGGAAGAAGGGCUCCGUGUUCCAAGGAUGGUCGUUUACCUCUCCUGAGGUCAGCCCUGAUCCCUUGGUAACUUAAGCGCCUCUGAACUCGGGGAGCGCUUGGUGGGGCGCCUCCCUGCAUCCAUCCCUACCCCUGGCUCCUUCCCAGGCCCAGCAUCUUUCCCACCAUUCUCACCCCCACCACCCCCACGGCCCCGCCCGUUUAGAGGCGUGCGGUGGGCACUUGGUUUACAGAACCGGCGUUUCAGAUGUUUAUUUGCAACUAAUUUCUUGUGCUGGAAAAUGCUUGUUACCCGGGCGGAGCGCUUCCGCUCUGCGCGGUCCGGCCCGGCGGGCGGUAGCUCGCUGAUCCCUCCGGCGAAGCCUCCAAGGAGCGGGCGGCUGGGAGAGGUUGUGCCACCCGGGACCAAGCCAUCGGCGCUGCUCCGGACUCCCGGUAGGGGGAGCCGCCGCGGGCGCCAGGCCGGAUUGUGUUCUGGCCUCGGGGCGGCCCUGCUGCCAGCGGCCAGGACUCUCAGCACAGAGCUCGGGAGGACUCCACCUGCUCUCCAGAUAAGGCGCCAUGAGCAGAGAAGGGAACAGAGGGCCAAGCUCCCUCCUAAUUCCCCGUUGUUGCAGAGCAAAGAAGAUGGGGGAGAACUAAUUAUAUUCUCUAGGUCUAAAUAUUGUUGAAAAAUUUGUAGGUGAGAUCACCUCCUUUGCCCAUAUCCAUAUAUAAUAUAUCCAUUACAUGUGUUUGCCCAUAUAUAUACGUAUGCCAUAUGUAAAUAUGUACGAGUGUGUAUGUAUGUGUAUAGCAGUGGUUUAGAUUUAGUCUCAGUUCCACAAAUUUUGAGCCCUUUUAAUAUUUUAGGUGACCUAAUACCUUCUCACUGUAUUUUCCAAGUCACUUAUUUCCAAGAGUUUUAGGUGAUCCCAGCAUAGGAGCUGAGCAAAGGAGCUCAGAUGAGACUUGCCAGUUUUGCUGCAGUAAUGUCAGCAAAAGAGUCUCUCUCUUUCUGACUCUAUAGACUUAAGUAAGGGUUUGCAGGCUUUCAUUUUAAGGUAUGACUGAUGUUUAGAGAACAAGACUAAACCAAGGUCAAGGGGAAAACAGUUAGACUGUGAACCUGCAGACCACUCCACUGCACCCAGUGUGGCCGUACACCUGUGCUGAACGGCCAGAGACUUCCUGGUCAAUACUCCCACAGAUAAAAGACUGCAGGCUCUGCUUAUACACAAAUCCAUCUUUCGCUGGGAACCCACAACUCAUAACAACUCUCCUAAUGCCAAGUCAUCAAGGCCUCUUGAAAGAGAAUCAUAAAAAACAAAGAAUUUCAAACUUGGAAGGAAACCUAAAGUUUACUGGUGAGGAGCUUGAACUGAGUAGAAGCAAAGAAUCAUACUCCAGAUGAGAAACACCCCAUGCACUGAGCUGAGACUGGAACUCUCCUCUUCUGACUCUCAGUCCAGUAAGUUUGACUACACAGCACUCAUUAUCAUUGUGAUUAUUAUGUUCCCACAUAUUUUGUCGUUCUUAGUUAGGCAUACUCCUUUAACACUAUUGUAAUAAAAGCAAAAUCUGGAAGAUCUUU